UACGUAGGUUGCGAGCGUUGUCCGGAAUCACUGGGCGUAAAGGGUCCGCAGGUUGUCCUGUAAGUCUCCUGUGAAAUUUCCGGGCUUAACCCGGAAAGGCCGGGGGAUACUGCGGGACUAGAGGCCAUCAGAGGGAGACGGAAUUCCCGGUGUAGUGGUGAAAUGCGUAGAUAUCGGGAGGAACACCAGUGGCGAAAGCGGUCUCCUGGGGUGGCCCUGACACUCAUGGACGAAAGUGUGGGGAGCAAACCGG
rnacentral:rRNA from 1 species